rnacentral:rRNA from 1 species
GGACGAACGCUGGCGGCGUGCUUAACACAUGCAAGUCGAACGGUAAGGCCCUUUCGGGGGUACACGAGUGGCGAACGGGUGAGUAACACGUGGGUGAUCUGCCUCCUGCUCUGGGAUAAGCCUGGGAAACUGGGUCUAAUACCGGAUAUGACCAACUUCUGCAUGGGGGUUGGUGGAAAGCUUUUGCGGCAGGAGAUGAGCCCGCGGCCUAUCAGCUUGUUGGUGGGGUAAUGGCCUACCAAGGCGACGACGGGUAGCCGGCCUGAGAGGGCGACCGGCCACACUGGGACUGAGACACGGCCCAGACUCCUACGGGAGGCAGCAGUGGGGAAUAUUGCACAAUGGGCGCAAGCCUGAUGCAGCGACGCCGCGUGAGGGAUGACGGCCUUCGGGUUGUAAACCUCUUUCAGUAGGGACGAAGCGCAAGUGACGGUACCUACAGAAGAAGCACCGGCCAACUACGU